CUGCGACGCCUGAGGAGAACAGGGAAUAUUUCACCUCAGGAGAUUUCUUUCGGAAAAUGCAUUUUGAGAUGCUGUCAUACAGAAGAAGAGAUGUCUGAGUCUUUUGGAGAAAUACAUAACGCGUUUGGCCAUCUGAUAUGGAUCUAGUCCAGAAGCAGAAAGUGCUAUUUUUGGGGUUUAAAGUUUUCAAAUGCCCAGCACUGGAGCCAUCAAGAAACAACAUGGAAAUGUACAGAACUCCCUGGAGAAGCACAACCGCACAAAGCACGAGACACAGAUAUAUUACCUUGUUGGUUGGGAGCGGUGGAAAAGGUUGACGCCGGCUGUCUGGAACUCAGAACCUGUACUUCUCUCUUCA